GAGUUUGAUCCUGGCUCAGAUUGAACGCUGGCGGCAGGCCUAACACAUGCAAGUCGAGCGGUAGAGAGAAGCUUGCUUCUCUUGAGAGCGGCGGACGGGUGAGUAAUGCCUAGGAAUCUGCCUGGUAGUGGGGGAUAACGCUCGGAAACGGACGCUAAUACCGCAUACGUCCUACGGGAGAAAGCAGGGGACCUUCGGGCCUUGCGCUAUCAGAUGAGCCUAGGUCGGAUUAGCUAGUUGGUGAGGUAAUGGCUCACCAAGGCGACGAUCCGUAACUGGUCUGAGAGGAUGAUCAGUCACACUGGAACUGAGACACGGUCCAGACUCCUACGGGAGGCAGCAGUGGGGAAUAUUGGACAAUGGCGAAAGCCUGAUCCAGCCAUGCCGCGUGUGUGAAGAAGGUCUUCGGAUUGUAAAGCACUUUAAGUUGGGAGGAAGGGCAGUAAAUUAAUACUUUGCUGUUUUGACGUUAACCGACAGAAUAAGACACCGGCUAACUCUGUGCCAGCACG
rnacentral:rRNA from 1 species